rnacentral:rRNA from 1 species
AGCGAACGCUGGCGGCAGGCUUAACACAUGCAAGUCGAGCGGGCACUUCGGUGUCAGCGGCAGACGGGUGAGGAACACGUGGGAACGUACCCUUUGGUUCGGAAUAACGCUGGGAAACUAGCGCUAAUACCGGAUACGCCCUUUUGGGGAAAGGCUUGCUGCCGAAGGAUCGGCCCGCGUCUGAUUAGCUAGUUGGUGUGGUAAUGGCCUACCAAGGCGACGAUCAGUAGCUGGUCUGAGAGGCUGAUCAGCCACACUGGGACUGAGACACGGCCGAGACUCCUACGGGAGGCAGCAGUGGGGAAUAUUGGACAGUGGGCGCAAGCCUGAACCAGCCAUGCCGCGUGAGUGAUGAAGGCCUUAGGGUUGUAAAGCUCUUUUGUCCGGGACGAUAAUGACGGUACCGGAAGAAUAAGCCCCGGCUAACUUCGUG